rnacentral:rRNA from 1 species
CCUACGGGGGGCAGCAGUAGGGAAUCUUCCGCAAUGGACGCAAGUCUGACGGAGCAACGCCGCGUGAGCGAUGAAGGCCUUCGGGUCGUAAAGCUCUGUUGUCAGGGAAGAACAAGUACCGGAGUAACUGCCGGUACCUUGACGGUACCUGACCAGAAAGCCACGGCUAACUACGUGCCAGCAGCCGCGGUAAUACGUAGGUGGCAAGCGUUGCCCGGAAUUAUUGGGCGUAAAGCGCGCGCAGGCGGUCCCCUAAGUCUGAUGGGAAAGCCCCCGGCUUAACCGGGGAGGGUCAUUGGAAACUGGGGGACUUGAGUGCAGAAGAGAAGAGCGGAAUUCCACGUGUAGCGGUGAAAUGCGUAGAGAUGUGGAGGAACGCCAGUGGCGAAGGCGGCUCUUUGGUCUGUAACUGACGCUGAGGCGCGAAAGCGUGGGGAGCAAACAGGAUUAGAUACCCCAGUAGUC